rnacentral:rRNA from 1 species
UACGUAGGGGGCAAGCGUUGUCCGGAUUUACUGGGCGUAAAGAGCGUGUAGGCGGCCAUGCAGGUCCGUUGUGAAAACUGGAGGCUUAACCUCCAGACGUCGACGGAAACCGCGUGGCUAGAGUCCGGAAGAGGAGAGUGGAAUUCCUGGUGUAGCGGUGAAAUGCGCAGAUAUCAGGAAGAACACCUAUGGCGAAGGCAGCUCUCUGGGACGGUACUGACGCUGAGACGCGAAAGCGUGGGGAGCGAACAGG